GGGUUGUGAGGUUAAGCGACUAAGCGUACACGGUGGAUGCCCUGGCAGUCAGAGGCGAUGAAGGACGUGCUAAUCUGCGAUAAGCGUCGGUGAGGUGAUAUGAACCGUUAUAACCGGCGAUUUCCGAAUGGGGAAACCCAGUGUGUUUCGACACACUAUCAUUAACUGAAUC
rnacentral:rRNA from 1 species